rnacentral:rRNA from 1 species
GACGAACGCUGGCGGCGUGCUUAACACAUGCAAGUCGUACGGUAAGGCCCUUUCGGGGGUACCCGGGUGGCGAACGGGGGAGUAACACGUGAUUAACCUGCCCACAACUUUGGGAUAACGCUAGUAAACUGGUGCUAAUACUGGAUAUGUGCUCCUUCUGCAUGGUGGGGGUUGGAAAGCUCCGGCGGUUGUGUGUUGACUCGCGGCCUAUCCGCUUGUUGGUGGGGUAGUGGACUACCAAGGCUGCGACGGGUAGCCGGACCGAGAAGGUGACCGGCCACAGUGGGACUGAGAGACGGCCCAGACUCCUACGCGAGGGAGAAGUGGGGAAGAUUGAACAAGGGGCGCAAGCCUGAUGCAGAACCGCCGCGGGCGGGAGGACGGCCUUCGGGUUGUAAACCGCUUUCAGCAGGGACGAAGCUUUUUGUGACGGUACCUGCAGAAGAAGCACCGGCUAACUACGUG